CCCUUAGAUGUCCUGGGCCGCACACGCGCUACACUGAAGGAGGCAGCGUGUACUCCUGGAUCGAAAGAUUUGGGUAACCCGCGAAUCUCCUUCGUGCUAGGGAUUGAGGUUUGCAAUUAUCCUUCAUGAACGAGGAAUUCCCAGUAAGUGCAAGUCAUAAGCUUGCGCUGACUACGUCCCUGCCCUUUGUACACACCGCCCGUCGCUCCUACCGAUUGAAUGGUCCGGUGAAAUCUUCGGAUUGCUGGAUAGGACUUCAUUGACCUAUCUGCGAGAAGUUGCUUGAACCUUAUCAUUUAGAGGAAGGAGAAGUCGUAACA
rnacentral:rRNA from 1 species